CGGGUUUGUUUGUGUUGGCGUUAGCGCUUUUCCGGGUUGGACUACGUUUCUCACAGGCCUUGGGGGGACUAGUGAACUUCGGUCUCUGUUCCCUUUUCCGCUAGCUCUGCGGUCAUAAUUUUCUGUGUGUUUAUUACAGAAUAUUGAGCAGCGUUCACAGGUGAAUCUUAAGAUGCAAAGUAUCUCACUAUGUUUAUGGAAUACAGUAAAAGAAGAUACAGUACUUGGAAUGUGUAACAUUCAGGAAAGUGGCCCUAGAGUUCACUCAAGAGGAAUGGGAAUAUGGGUUCUGCUCUGAGGGAACUGUACUGGGAUGUGAUGAUGGAAAACAGCAACUUGGUCUCAC